rnacentral:rRNA from 1 species
UACGUAGGGUGCAAGCGUUAAUCGGAAUUACUGGGCGUAAAGCGUGCGCAGGCGGUUAUGCAAGUCAGAUGUGAAAUCCCCGGGCUCAACCUGGGAACUGCAUUUGAAACUCCCUUUCUUGAGUACCGGAGAGGAAAGUGGAAUUCCUGGUGUAGAGGUGAAAUUCGUAGAUAUCAGGAGGAACACCAGUGGCGAAGGCGGCUUUCUGGACGGUAACUGACGCUGAGACGCGAAAGCGUGGGGAGCAAACAGG